GACGAACGCUGGCGGCGUGCUUAACACAUGCAAGUCGAGGGCACUACUGGGGCAACCUGGUAGUGACCGGCGAACGGGUGCGUAACACGUGAGCGACCUUGCCUGGUGGUGGGGAGUAGCCGGCCCGAACCGGCCGGGUAACGUACCGCCAUAUGGUGCUGACUCCGCAUGGGGACGGGCAGCAAAGACCCUCGGAGGCAAUCCACGUGGCG
rnacentral:rRNA from 1 species